rnacentral:rRNA from 1 species
GACGAACGCUGGCGGCGUGCUUAACACAUGCAAGUCGAACGGAAAGGCCCUGCUUUUGUGGGGUGCUCGAGUGGCGAACGGGUGAGUAACACGUGAGUAACCUGCCCUUGCCUUUGGGAUAACUUCAGGAAACUGGGGCUAAUACCGGAUAGGAGCUCCUGCUGCAUGGUGGGGGUUGGAAAGUUUCGGCGGUUGGGGAUGGACUCGCGGCUUAUCAGCUUGUUGGUGGGGUAGUGGCUUACCAAGGCUUUGACGGGUAGCCGGCCUGAGAGGGUGACCGGCCACAUUGGGACUGAGAUACGGCCCAGACUCCUACGGGAGGCAGCAGUGGGGAAUAUUGCACAAUGGGCGGAAGCCUGAUGCAGCAAUGCCGCGUGCGGGAUGACGGCCUGCGGGUUGUAAACCGCUUUCGCCUGUGACGAAGCGUGAGUGACGGUAAUGGGUAAAGAAGCACCGGCUAACUACGUG